rnacentral:rRNA from 2 species
CCUGGCGGCGAUAGCGCGGUGGUCCCACCUGACCCCAUGCCGAACUCAGAAGUGAAACGCCGUAGCGCCGAUGG